CAGCCAAAAUGUUUCCUGUGUCCGACCACAGUAUACUCGAAUGUAUUGCAGACUUGCGUAAAAGCAGCUACGAUACCGCGUAAUGUAACGUACACUCAAGCUGCCUGUCUGGAGCAAAACUGUGCGAUCGGCAGGGGCAAAAGAAGCGUUGCUGUUGGAUCGGAGAAUUCCUUGGAGUGGGAUCCAUCGAAACAAAACUCUUUUGGUGGAGUUGAGCUUGAUCAGUUAGCUCCCUUGGAAAAAGCGUCAUUGAGUUACGACGCCAGCCACAGCGGUAACAAUCAGGCUUUCGAGAUUGUUGGCGAAGAAGAAGCAUAUGCCUCAGAUGAUGAAGGAGAAGGAGAUUAUGAAGAUAUGACGGAUUAAAAUUAAGAUUGCAAACGAUAUUAGUAAACAAUAUUGUAUACUCAUUUUGUUAGACCUUUUGAAAUAAAUAAAGAUUCUAUAUAUAGUUUUCAAAAAUAUAAAAA